GAUCAAAAUGGCGCUCCCGCAUCUUGCUGCUUCCCACCUUUCACGUUCCUCGUGGCGUAAAGUGUUCUCGCGAGAUUUCGGGCCCACUAUUAGCUGGGUCGUGCGAUGGGCCAUCCUUUUCUUUCGAGAGGCCGUGGAGAUAAUAGCUGUUUGUGUUAGCAUUCGUUCGGAGAAGCCACAUCAUGUUUGCCGAGUUGUCGGAAAUCUGAAGCAAGUAAUAAGUGAUGAAUAAUUUGGAGAGGGGCUUGGAGAAUACAUAACAGGAAUGAAUUCUCUGAACCCUAUAAUGGCAUCUGAUUCAGCUGUGGAAAUUGAAAAUCACAGUGAUAAUUCUUCAUCUGGUAGCAGCUUAUUUAAAACUCAGUGUGUCCCUUCCUCACCUAAACCAAGGCAAAGAAACCCUAUCAGAAAAUUUGUUUAUUCACCUGAAAGUGUUCAAGCAAAGGAUUCCUCUAGUGACUCAUCUUUAGAACCAAGACCAUUGACUUUAAAAGCUAUUUUUGAAAGAUUCAAAAAAAAGAAACGUAAAAAGAGGAAAUACAAGCCAACAGGAAGACCAAGGGGAAGACCAAAAGGAAGAAAAAAUACUAGACGCUCCCAAAUAAAUAGGAAACAAGUUAGAGACAAAGGAUCUGGGUUCCCAUUUUUAGAAUCAGAGAAUGAAAGAAAACCACUACCUUGGAGGAAGAUUUUAACCUUUGAGCAAGCAGUGGCAAGAGGAUUUUUCAACUACCUUGAAAAGCUGAAGUAUGAAUACUACCUCAAGGAAUCCUUGAAACAAAUGAAUGUUGGUGAAGAUUUAGAAAAAGAAGAUUUUGACAGUCGUAGAUAUAAAUACUUGGAUGAUGAUGGAUCUCUCUCUCCUAUUGAGUCAGAAGCAGAGGAUGAUCUUGCAACAAAUCUUGAACAUGAUGACGAAUGUGAUAUCAAAUUGGUGGACCAUAAUUAUUUCAUAGUAAGUUCUGAAGCACCAAAGAAGAAUGUGUAUUUAGAACAAGAGGAAUAUACUGAAGAAGCAGCUGUGUCUAAAAGGAGAACAUCAAGGUCCAAAAACAUUGGACAGAGGAUAGAAUGGUCUGAAAAGGAGAUAGGAAUAUGAAUGUUAAGGUAAACAGCACAGAAAAACAGCUUUUCGUAGAAAAUAAAGAUGAUAAAUGCAAAUAUAUAUGUCAGUGAUAAAAAUGAAUCUAAGGAGAAAAUAAAAAGAACCUGAACAAAUUAGUGAAACUCUGAAUUAUCAGGAAAAGCAUUUUAAAGCUGUGGAAUUGUUUACAUGUAGAAAAGAAUUAAGACUUGCAUAGCAAAAAUAAUCACCUGAUAAAUAAUAAACAGGAUCCUACUGUUUUUGUCCAUACUUUGUUUCAGAGCAAGAGCUUAAAGGUGUCAUUUUGAGCAAAGAAGUAUGGAGAUUAUCUCCUGAAAACCUUUAUUAUAAAUGUAAUCACUAAUGAUUGACAUCUCCUCAGGAUACCUGAAGCCGUUUUUAUCCCAUUUUUAUUCAAACAAAGACCUUUAGUGUCAAACGUGUUACUGUAAUAAGAACUUCCUAACUACCUAGACUGUGUCAACUACAAUUUUCUUCUCAUCACCACUGUAUAUUGCUGAUUAUGCCACUAAAUAACGCUGUAUUGAUUGCACUUGUGCUUGUUUUUGUUCAGUUUUGUGGACAAAGACUUAGACAAGUGCAGAAAAUAAAUCCUCUUUUGCAACCCAGAACUCAUGGCUCAAUAUGAGUUUUGAUACAUGUAAGAAGGAACAAGAUCCCUACAACCAACUAAAGUGAUUGUGGGGGGUUUGAUAAACUUGAAAGUUGGUUUCAGGACUGUAGAAUGACUAAAGCACAAGGCAAAAGGGAAUUCUCAACUAUGGUGAAUUAGUAUUACGAUUUUAAUGUUGACAUAAAACAAAGAUGCCUUCUUGUUGUAGGCUUUUCAUUUGAGAGCACAAUGCCUGGACUUAAAGGUAUGUCUUCUGCUUUCAGUGAAGGAAUGUCUUUUGGUGAAUUUUUGGAUCAGAUUUGUUUAAAUGUACUUUAUCAGAUAAUAUAAACCUCUACAGGUUUCAUUGUUGAAAGACAUUUUCCCAGUUUUAAUUUGUUUAUGACGUGAUUUCAGAAAAAGAUUUUAGAGUUCAUACAUUUUAUAGUGACAGAUGUAAGCUUUACUUCACUUGCAGGAAGGGGUCCCCAAACUGUAACUUAGGUUAUGGCAAUAAUCAGAAUGCAGGAUAUUCCCACUUUAAGCAUCUACGUUAGCUUAAACUAAUGCAUAAUCUAAAAUGAGGUUUAGGACUUAAUAGUGUAAUGUUAGAAAUGAUUACACGAGAAUGAUGGAAAGGUUAUUAAUUCACAAUCAUCCAAUUUGUUUUAUUAUCUUCCAGGGAUUCCUAAAUGGGAAGAACAUAAGUACAGCCAUAUUAAUAUUUUCCUGAAAUUUUUUAAGUCAAAUAACUGUAGUUCUUAAAAUGAGGCAGAAUCUUAAACAUUUUGCUGUAAUCCUGGGAAUUUCAUUGGAGUUUGUAAAAAUCAAGACUUUAGACAUGGAAAUCUUUUUCCUUUGGUGGUUCUAGAAUAGCUACUUGGUACUUUGCAUGUCUAUCUCAGUAUACACUCUUGUAACCAACCAUUCAGAAAAUCCUUAUCAUGCGAUUAAAUUAUGGGAUAAGUUUGUUGUAAAUAGGAUGUUUGGCUUUUUGCACAAUUUUGAACUCAGAUUUAGAGCAGAUCACAGGUCUAAUUGUUUUCUUGUGGAAUCUUCAGUUUUAAAACUGUAAACAGUGGUUGAGGUCUAUCCCGAUGGGGCUUUUUCUGUAGACCUACAUCGUUGGAAACGCCUCAUAGAGUAUAUGUGUGGUUUCCUUUAUUCACAGAACUAUGUGUUAGAUCUGUGGGAAAGAACUACAAGACAUCUAUCUGCUAAAACAUUGAAAGACCUAAUGGUCAUAUAUUUUAAAUCUUAGGUAUUGGAGUAUCCCAAGAAUCUGUAUAGUUCAGGGCAUGCUAGUUUAGGGGUGAAUAUGAUUUGAACUCAUUUACGUUUAGAGGGUGUUUGAAAUUGAGAACCAGGGGUCCAUGUAGUCUGACCCUAAACAUGUAAGGCUUUCUAUUUCUGUUGCUUCUGGUGGGUGUUUUUAUUGCUAGCAAACAGCAGGACUUCUAUACGGAAUCAGAAACCUUUGUAUAGCUUAUACAUAAGCUUGAGAGGAAAUUUUUAAAAGCCUCAUUCAUUCUAAGGUGGAAGUGGGCAUUAUCAUUCAUGGUGUCCAGGAAUUGUUAAUGUGGCUACAUUGAGACACAGGUAAUGCUUGCAUCACAGCAGGUUUAUUGCAGUGGUGACAAUGAGACCUGUAACAUUUUCUGCUAGGCCUGUGGAGUAGAGUGGAAGUAACAAGACUUUCCCAUAUUGGAAGCAAUUAAGGGAUAACAAUUUUGUAGAUCAUUUGCCAAAACAGCAAUCAGUGUAAUUCUUAAAACUUGAUUUCUAGGGCCCUAAAGUAAAAAAAAAAACUGGAUCCCAAAGAUUGCAGGUAAGAUUCCCCUCAAGUGCCCAAUCUUACAGGAGUUGAAAGCUUUUUUUCAUAACACUUCAUUAAUGUUCCUAAUGCUUUGGUUUACCUAAUUUUGGCAACAGCUAAUCCUGGUGGUUUAUUGUAUCCUAAUUAAAAAAAAAAACCCUAGAUAUUAAUGUGUGUUUAUACAACUUGCCAGUGAUUUGUGAUGUUAUGAUGAUGGGCAAAAUGUUCAACUGCUCUGACUGGGCUGAAUGAAAGUAGCCUUUCUGAACAUCCAUCUAAAUGAAAUCUGGGGGACACUGGAUGGCUCUGUCAGUUCAGUGACUUCAGCUCAUGACCUCAUGGUUGGUGUAUUUGAGUUCGGGCUCUGGGCUGAUAAGCGCUGAGCCUGCUUGGGCUCCUCUAUCCCUCUCUCUCGUGCCCCUCCCGCACUGGCAUGUUCUUUCUUCCCAAAAUAAAUACAGUAUUUAAAAAAUAAGUGGGGGCUCCUGGGUGGCUCAGUCAGUUGAGUGUCCAACUUUGGUUCAGGUCAUGAUCUCGUGGUUCAGGAGUUUGAGUUCCGCGUUGGGCUCUGUGCUGACAGAUCAGAGCUUGAAGUGUGUCUCCCUCCUCUUGCCCCCCCCCCCCCAAAAAACAUAAAAAAAUGGAAUGGGUUGAAAAAUUAAUUAUUCCAACUCUGCAUUUUUAAGCCUGGAAAUUUCAAUACGUAUUAGUUCAGAACUGGGUAUCCGGCUACUUUGGAACCUAAUUAAAACCACAUUUUGAGAAAUUUAGUCUAAACUUUAAAAUCGUCCGUAGGUGGGGAAUACCUGAAGUAUGUCCAUAUUCAAGUGGAGAUUAAAGAAGCCCAAGGGAAAGAACUCUGGCAAGAUAGAACUGAUGGUGACAACUGUGGAUUGAACAAAAGCUCCUUUUAAAAGGGCUAUUUUGAAGAAUGUGAUUCUGACUCAGAGGAACAACGGUGCUUGGGAGUGGAAGGAAUCCCAUGUUAAAAUUCUUAAAUAAAAAUUUAUUGACUUUAAAUAA